UCCCUGGAGGACUAGUGGUUAGGCCUCAGCAUUCUUACCGCCGCAGCCUGGGUUCAAUUUUCGGGCCAGGGAA